rnacentral:rRNA from 1 species
UAACCUGCCUCUUAGCGGGGGAUAACUAUUGGAAACGAUAGCUAAUACCGCAUAAAAGUCGACAUUGCAUGAUGUUGACUUGAAAGGUGCAAAUGCAUCACUAAGAGAUGGACCUGCGUUGUAUUAGCUAGUUGGUGAGGUAACGGCUCACCAAGGCGACGAUACAUAGCCGACCUGAGAGGGUGAUCGGCCACACUGGGACUGAGACACGGCCCAG